AGAUUAGAUAACUUCUCUAUACACACAGCUAAUAAUUGUUGGAACCAGGACUUGAGCUGAAGAUUUUCCUGGGAAGUAUCAUUUGGAUUCUGAAGGUGCCGAUUUAAUUUGUGCUUGUGCAAAGUCACCACUUAUAAUGGGCAGUUCUAAAGCUAAGUCAAAACAUCACUCUUUAGAUUUGACCUGGUGACUGUAUCAGUGGGUGUCAUUUAUCAGAAAUGGGAAAUUUCAUGUACAUCCUGCUUGCAUUUUCAGAAAACUGUUAAGGACUGCAAUUUUCAACUUGGGCCUGCAAGCUAAAAGCAAGCACUAUCCCUUAGAGUGGCUUUUAUCUUUCUUGGCUCUGCCCGAUUGAGAUUGACCCUGGCCGUGGGACCAUGGAACCAUCCGGGGACUGGUAUUCU
rnacentral:lncRNA from 1 species